rnacentral:lncRNA from 1 species
CUCCUCUUUCCGCUCUAAUUUAAAUGCCUGUACCAAGUCAGGAAUAUGACAGUUGUUGUCCAUUCGUUUGAUGUAUUUAUAAUUUGAUUUUUGCCUUUUGAUAAGGAACUUUCCGUUUUGAAUUUUCCUCGGAGUUCAGUAUUUUUCUGAUUUUACUUUUCAUUAGGCUGGUUCCCUCCCUUGCAACAUACGGGUAAUCUUGCUGAGCCAAACUUUGACAGACAAAGGACAGGGAACCAGUCUAUAUUUUUCAUUUUGUUUUAAAAACUUUUUGGGAUCCUCUUGUUUCAUCUAAAUGAUACACACUUUCAAACAUUUGAGGCAAACAUUUGUAAUUAUUGAAUGUUGUCAGAUCCUUGUAAUCAAAGCCCUACUGACACAUGAUCAUAUAUUUUGAAAUCAGAUCUUUUUUCUCACUUUUAAGUGAAAUAUUUUCGUCAA